rnacentral:rRNA from 1 species
CCCACGCGAGAUUUUAUUAGAAUUGAAUAAAACUUUGUUUAUAUAUUGAUAAUGACAGUAUAUAUAUUGUGUCUUGACUAAUUACGUGCCAGCAGUCGCGGUAAUACGUAAGAGACUAGUGUUAUUCAUCUUAAUUAGGUUUAAAGGGUACCCAAACGGUCAAUAUAGCUUGUAAAAUUGUUAGUACUUGACUAGAGUUUUAUGUAAGAGGGCAGUACUUGAGGAGGAGAGAUGAAAUUCUGUGAUACCAAAGGGACUCUGUAAAGGCGAAGGCAGCCCUCUAUGUAAAAACUGACGUUGAAGGACGAAGGCACAGAGAACAAACAGGAUUAGAUACCCAAGUAGUCUUUGCAGUAAAUGAUGAAUGCCAUAGGUCAGAUCAAUAGUUAGUGAUUAUAGUGAGGUUAUUUCUAUGAAAGCCUACUAUACCAUUAAAAAGUUAUUUGGUCUAUAAAUGAAAGUGUAAGCAUUUCACCUCAAGAGUAAUGUGGCAACGCAGGAACUGAAAUCACUAGACCGUUUCUGACACCAGUAGUGAAG